rnacentral:lncRNA from 1 species
GCCGCUCCCCUGCGCGCGCCCGGCCGGCCCGCCCGCGCCCGAGGGCGAGCGGAGGAGAGCGCGUACCCGCGCUCCGCUCCGCUCCAGACCCUGCCUUCACCCGCGUGCUCAGUUCUCUCCCCACCGCCCCCGCGAGCUGCCCUCCCUCCCCGCCCCUGCGGCCCGCGGAAGGAAGCCUCUCCCCGCCCCCACCUCUACUGGCGGGCACAUCCGGGACCUUCGCAUCUCCCCACCCCACCCCCUCCCGCCUGGCCGCCCUCUCUCUGCGCUGGUAAUGGCGGCGGGCAGGCUGCAGGGCAGGGUGACAGCGGCUCUACUGCCAGGGCAUUGUGAUCAGAACCCCGGAGCAGGGCAGCGGCCCCGCCGUCGCGGGGCGGGGCGGGCGCGGUUGCUCCCUCCCGCGGUCCGCUUUACCUGCCUGCUGCAGGAAGCGGCCUUAGACCUUUUAAGGCUUGGAAAAGCGCGAGGCUGAAUGACGCCCUGCCCUUCCAGUCGCGAGUUCGGCGUCCGCACCGUGACAGCCUCGGGGACAAUGGGUGGUCGCUGGGAGGAGCGGGGAAAGGGUUGGGUUUGCGAGUUGGACGUGAUCGUAGAAGCCUGACUUGGGGCGAAGCGGGGAAACAGGCUAGAACACACCGAACUGCUCUUCAUGGUCUACGCUUUUACCCUCCGUAGGGCUUUCAUUGGGAGACGCAUCGUUCCUAACUAACGCAUUGUAAGAGUGUGACCCUUUUAGGUUCUGGA